rnacentral:rRNA from 1 species
CGUGUAGGCGGCGAGGAAAGUUGGAUGUGAAAGCUCCUGGCUUAACUGGGAGAGGUCGUUCAAAACUACCUGGCUAGAGAUUGGUAGAGGAAAAUGGAAUUCCGGGUGUAGUGGUGAAAUGCGUAGAUAUCCGGAGGAACACCAGUGGCGAAAGCGAUUUUCUGGACCAAGACUGACGCUCAGACGCGAAAGCUAGGGUGGCAAACG